UGCUCACGCUCCGGUGAACCGAAUUUCAUAAACUUUUUUUUCCCUGAUUGAUACGGUCAAUAUCUAUCUAGUAAAGCGAAAGUAGAAGAAAUAUGUUCAAAUUUGGCCGCCCUACAAGCAGAAACUGCUUGGCGCCCUCCACCUGGUUUACUCCAAGGGGUCUAACUCACGAGUCGGUCAUCCGAUUUUUGUCGAUCGGUAUUGUAAAUACCUUUUAUUUGACGUAUCACUGACCAGUGUAGUAUUGUAAUGUCCGGAGAUAUCUUCGAAAAACCGUAAAGCACUUAUUGGGCCACAGCUCGGGAGGGGUCGAUCCAAAAUCACUCAUCUUCGAAC